rnacentral:pre_miRNA from 1 species
GAGAAGUGAAGAGUUCAUUCGGCUGUCCAGAUGUAUCCAAGUACCCAGUUAUUUGGCAAUAAAUACAUCUGGGCAACUGAUUGAACUUUUCGCUUUUC